rnacentral:rRNA from 1 species
AUAUUGGUCAAUAGCCUAACGGCUGAACCAGCAACUUGGAGGAAUGUACGGCAAUAGCUGGUUGCAUUAACAAAAAGUUAGUGUAAGAUCGACUCUGUCGAAUAAAAUUCUAGAUAGACUUAUGAUAAUGACAUUAUCUAUCUAUGUGUCUUGACCAAAUUACGUGCCAGCAGUCGCGGUAAUACGUAAAAGACUAGUGUUAUUCAUCUUUAAUAGGUUUAAAGGGUACUUAGACGGUAAAUCAAGCCCGAAAAGGGAACUAAUAUACUAGAGUUUGAUGUAAGGAAGCAUGAAAGUACUGUUGGUGUAGAGAUAAAAUUCUAUCAUACCAAAUAUGGCACAGGUUUAGGCGAAAGCAUCUUCUUAUGUAAUAACUGACGUUGAAGGACGAAGGCUUUGUGUCUCGAACAGGAUUAGAUACCCCAGUAGUCUAAGCAGACAAUGAUGAAUGUCAUAGAUUAGAUUUAAUUUAUUCUAUAAAUGAAAGUGUAAGCAUUCCACCUCAAGAGUAAUUUGGCAACAUUGGAACUGAAAUCAUUAGACCGUUUCUGAAACCAGUAGUGAAGUAUGUUGUUUAAUUAGACGGUACGCAAAAAACCUUACCACAAUUUGAAUUAGUAAUAUGUUUUCACAAGCGCUGCACGGCUGUCUACAGUUAAUGUCGUGAGAUUUUGGUUAGUUCCAUUAAAUUAACGCAAACCCUUACUUUAUUUUUAAUAUAAAGUAGUUCACCGCUAUAUUGGAUACGAUAAAAGGGAACAAGACAAGUCAUCAUGGCCUUAAUAUUGUGGGCU